rnacentral:rRNA from 1 species
UACGUAGGGGGCUAGCGUUGUCCGGAAUCAUUGGGCGUAAAGCGCGUGUAGGCGGUCCGGUAAGUCCGCUGUGAAAGUCGGGGGCUCAACCCUCGAAUGCCGGUGGAUACUGUCGGGCUAGAGUACGGAAGAGGCGAGUGGAAUUCCUGGUGUAGCGGUGAAAUGUGCAGAUAUCAGGAGGAACACCGAUGGCGAAGGCAGUGUUCUGGGCCAGUACUGACGCUGAGGAGCGAAAGCGUGGGUAGCAAACAGG